UACGUAGGGGGGCAAGCGUUGUCCGGAUUUAUUGGGCGUAAAGAGCGUGUAGGCGGCCAGAUAGGUCCGUUGUGAAAACUGGAGGCUUAACCUCCAGCUGUCGAUGGAAACCAUCUGGCUAGAGUCCGGAAGAGAAGAGUGGAAUUCCACGUGUAGCGGUGAAAAUGCGUAGAGAUGUGGAGGAACACCAGUGGCGAAGGCGACUUACUGGACACAUAUUGACGCUGAGGUGCGAAAGCGUGGGGAGCAAACAGG
rnacentral:rRNA from 1 species